CCUGGCCUUGCAUCUGCGAACCUGCAGAGAUGCGGAGUGCCUUCGGGACGAUAAGACAGGUGCUGCAUGGCUGUCGUCAGCUCGUGUCGUGAGAUGUUGGUUAAGUCCCGCAACGAGCGCAACCCUUGCCCUUAGUUGCCAUCAUUUAGUUGGGAACUCUAAGGGGACCGCCGGUGACAAACCGGAGGAAGGUGGGGAUGACGUCAAGUCAUCAUGGCCUUUAUGGCCAGGGCUACACACGUGCUACAAUGGUCGGUACAAAGGGUUGCCAACCCGCGAGGGGGAGCCAAUCUCAGAAAGCCGAUCGUAGUCCGGAUUGCAGUCUGCAACUCGACUGCAUGAAGUCGGANUCGCUAGUAAUCGUGAAUCAGCGAUGUCACGGUGAAUACGUUNCCC
rnacentral:rRNA from 1 species